ACGAACGCUGGCGGCGUGCUUAACACCUGCAAGUCGCACGGAAAGGCCCUGCUUUUGUGGGGUGCUCGCGUGGCGAACGGGUGAGUAACACGUGAGUAACCUGCCCUUGACUUUGGGAUAACUUCAGGAAACUGGGGCUAAUACCGGAUAGGAGCUCCUGCUGCAUGGUGGGGGUUGGAAAGUUUCGGCGGUUGGGGAUGGACUCGCGGCUUAUCAGCUUGUUGGUGGGGUAGUGGCUUACCAAGGCUUUGACGGGUAGCCGGCCUGAGAGGGUGACCGGCCACAUUGGGUCUGAGAUACGGCCCAGACUCCUACGGGAGGCAGCAGUGGGGAAUAUUGCACAAUGGGCGGAAGCCUGAUGCAGCAACGCCGCGUGCGGGAUGACGGCCUUCGGGUUGUAAACCGCUUUCGCCUGUGACGAAGCGUGAGUGACGGUAAUGGGUAAAGAAGCACCGGCUAACUACGUG
rnacentral:rRNA from 1 species